UACGUAGGGUGCAAGCGUUGUCCGGAAUUAUUGGGCGUAAAGAGCUCGUAGGCGGUUUGUCGCGUCGGCUGUGAAAACCUAGGGCUCAACCCUGGGCUUGCAGCCGAUACGGGCAAACUAGAAUUCGGUAGGGGAGACUGGAAUUCCUGGUGUAGCGGUGAAAUGCGCAGAUAUCAGGAGGAACACCGGUGGCGAAGGCGGCGACCUGGGUAGAUACUGACGCUGAGGUGCGAAAGCGUGGGGAGCAAACAGG
rnacentral:rRNA from 1 species